rnacentral:rRNA from 1 species
CGGCGGACGGGUGAGUAACACGUGGAUAACCUACCUAUAAGACUGGGAUAACUUCGGGAAACCGGAGCUAAUACCGGAUAAUAUAUUGAACCGCAUGGUUCAACAGUGAAAGACGGUUUUGCUGUCACUUAUAGAUGGAUCCGCGCCGCAUUAGCUAGUUGGUAAGGUAACGGCUUACCAAGGCAACGAUGCGUAGCCGACCUGAGAAGGUGAUCGGCCACACUGGAACUGAGACACGGUCCAG